UGUGGCGGCGGGGGAGGCGGAGUCGACGGUGAGGAUGGGAAGGAGAAAUCGGUCGUGGAUGGAGCCGAGGAGGCCUCAGGGGCGUCACCUCCGAUGUGAUAAUUCUCGACGUCGGAGGAAUGACUUGUGGGGGAUGUGCAGCGGGUAUGAAGAGAAUUUUGGAAAAUCAACAUUGGACAGCCUCAAGUAUCUGCUGCCAGCGUAAAUCUUACAACCGGGACAUCUAUUGUAUGGCCUGUAUCUGAAA